UGCAGCAAGAAAAAGCACCAGGAGCUGAGGAACAUCUCUCUCUUCCUGAUCCAGAAGAGAAAUCAAGAUGCCUACAAGUUGGUUUUAAAGAAAUGGGACUCAUUUAAGUUCCUGAGCCUUUGCACAAGACGAGAUCUGCUGUGAUUGGAGUUCUCCGCGGUGCAAUUCUCCUUUGCCUGACAUGCAGUAAGAUUGUAUCUUUGUGUCAGAUGCAGGGUGGUGGCCUCUUUUGUUUAAACUAGUUUG
rnacentral:lncRNA from 1 species